GACGAACCGUGCUAACGUUAUUCGGAAUUACUGGGCUUAAAGCGCGUGUAGGCGGGACGGCACGUCCGUCGUUGAAAGCCCCCGGCUCAACCGGGGAAUCGGCGCGGAUACGACCGUCCUCGAGGAGCGUAGGGGGACAGGGAACUUCCGGUGGAGCGGUGAAAUGCGUUGAGAUCGGAAGGAACACCCGUGGCGAAAGCGCUGUCCUGGACGCUUUGCUGACGCUGAGACGCGAAAGCUAGGGGAGCAAACGG
rnacentral:rRNA from 1 species